rnacentral:rRNA from 1 species
AUUGAACGCUGGCGGCAGGCCUAACACAUGCAAGUCGAGCGAGCGGCGGACGGGUGAGUAAUGUCUGGGAAACUGCCUGAUGGAGGGGGAUAACUACUGGAAACGGUAGCUAAUACCGCAUACCAUUAGAUGUGCCCAGAUGGGAUUAGCUCGUAGGUGGGGGAACGGGUCACCUAGGCGACGAUCCCUAGCUGGUCUGAGAGGAUGACCAGCGACACUGAAACUGAGACACGGUCCAAACUCCUACGGGAGGCAGCAGUGGGGAAGAUUGCACAAGGGGAGCAAGCCUGAGACAGCCAUGCCGGGUGUAUGAAGAAGGCCUUCGGGUUGGAAAGUACUUUCAGCGGGGAGGCGUUACCCGCAGAAGAAGCACCGGCUAACUCCGUGCCAGGAGCCGCGGUAAUAC